GGAACAUAAAAACCGCUAAACCGUAGGAACCGCCUAACCCAUUAGAAUCCGCCCGUAUGGAAACCGCCCAUUAAAAACCCGCAAAAAUUGGAUUGGGUUGAAUUUUAACCCGCUGUUUGGCGGGCGGGUACGGUUUAGCCUAAAAACGGGCGGGUUCAACCCGACCCGUAAUAUAUUAUUUUUUUUUUUUUUAAAUUUAAUUUAUACUAUUACGGUAAUGCCUAAAUUGAAAAACUAAAACAAAAAACCCUAAAUCUAAAUAACCCUUCUUUCUUCACAGCCGCCAACAGCAUCGCCCCCCACCCCCACCUUCUUCUCCGGUCGUCGUCGCCCCUCCCCCCUUCUUCUCUGCUCGUCGAGCCACCACCUAGCCAAGACUCUGUUAUAAUCGUAUUGAUUUCGGAGUAAGCAUUUAGUAGUGUUUACAGGUGCAGGAAUAUCAACUUCCUGUGGUAUUCCAGAUUUUCGAGGCCCGAAGGGAAUUUGGACUCUUCAGGUGGAGUUAUGGAUAUUAAUAUAGAAAUACAAGAUGUGGUUAUAGAAGAUAAUGAUAUGCCUAAUAUUGAAGUGGAAGAGGAAGUAGAAAAUGAUAAAGAGGAAAUGGGGAAUGAGAAAAAUAAGAAGCCUAAGGGGAAGUCAGAUAUUUGGCAGUUUUUUACUAGAAUUGUGGGUGGUAAUCUUGAGGAUCCUAGGGCAGCAUGUAAUUUUUGUGGGAAGGAUUAUGCUGCUCACCCUAAAAAUUGCGGAACUAGUACUUUAUGGAAUCACUUGAAUCGGUGUCCAAAGAAUCCUAAUAGGGUGAACAAACAAAAGAUCUUGUGUUUCGAACCUAAGAAAGAGGGAGAGGG